GACGAACGCUGGCGGCGUGCUUAACACAUGCAAGUCGAACGGAAAGGCCCUGCUUUUGUGGGGUGCUCGAGUGGCGAACGCGUGAGUAACACGUGUGUAAACUGCCCUUGAAUUUGGGAUAACUUCAGGAAACUGGGGCUCAUAUCGGAUAGGAUCUCCUGCUGCAUGGUGGGGGAUGGAAAGUUUCGGCGGUUGUGGAUGGACUCGCGGCUUAUCAGCUUGUUGGUGGGGUAGUGGCUUACCAAGGGUUUGACGGGUAGCCGGCCUUAGAGGGUGACCGGCGACAAUGGGCCUAAGAGACGGACCAGUCUCCUACGGGAGGCAGCAGUGGGGAAUAUUGCAGAAUGGGGGGAAGCCUGAUGCAGCAACGCCGCGUGCGGGAUGACGUCCUUCGGGUUGUAAACCGCUUUCGCCUGUGACGAAGCGUGAGUGACGGUAAUGGGUAAAGAAGCACCGGCUAACUACGUG
rnacentral:rRNA from 1 species